UACGGGGGGGGCAAGCGUUGUUCGGAAUUACUGGGCGUAAAGGGCUGGUAGGCGGCCAACUAAGUCGGAUGUGAAAUCCCCAGGCUUAACCUGGGAACUGCAUCCGAUACUGGUCGGCUUGAAUCCGGGAGAGGGAUGCAGAAUUCCAGGUGUAGCGGUGAAAUGCGUAGAUAUCGGGAGGAACACCUGUGGCGAAAGCGGCGCACUGGACCACAACUGACGCUGAGGCGCGAAAGCUAGGGGGAGCAAACGGG
rnacentral:rRNA from 1 species